rnacentral:rRNA from 1 species
CUUGGUCAUUUAGAGGAAGUAAAAGUCGUAACAAGGUUUCCUAGGAACAGUGAUCCGUCCGCGAGACGCUUGCUGAAGCCUUUGCAGCCCCGCAAGGGGCAGGCCGCCGCGACUCAAAACAAAGGCCUGGCAUUGCAGGUCGGCGCCCCCGGGCGCCGGCGACACUUUCGAAUUGCGGGGACGUCCUCAGCAGGCCCUACCAAGCCCCCCGGGAGACCGGCGGGGUGGCCCACUGCCUAGCGGCGUGGGGUACGGUAAAAAGGGGCACCAGCGAGGGCAAUCCGCAGCCAACCCCCGCCUCGUCGGGGAGGGGUCCACAGACUAGGUGGAAGUGGGCGGCGCGCCGCUUAAGAUAUAGUCGGGGCCCACGGGAGACCGUGGGCGGCCAACCGUUCCGUAGGUGAACCUGCGGAAGGAUCAUUACUGGGUUAGCCCUCGGGCGCAACUCCACCCUUUGUAACCGCGGCCCGGAUUCGGCGCCUGGCGGGGAGCACCCCCCGUUCGCGGGGGGCCCCGCCUGCCGGAAUUAGCCAACCCUGCCUAGAAAUUUGAAGUCUGAGAACAAGUUAAAUUGAACAAAACUUUCAACAACGGAUCUCUUGGUUCUGGCAACGAUGAAGAACGCAGCGAAAUGCGAUAAGUAAUGUGAAUUGCAGAAUUCAGUGAAUCAUCGAAUCUUUGAACGCACAUUGCGCCCCCUGGUAUUCCGGGGGGCACACCUGUUCGAGCGCCAUUUCUACCCUGGAGCCCUGCUCUGUGAUGGGCCCCGUCCUCGCGGACGGGCCCGAAACCUGUGGGCGCCGUCGUCCGGCCCUGAGCGUAGCAAGAGAAAUCCCUCGCUCGGAGUGCCUGCCGGUCGGCCGCCCCGAACCCCCAUUUUUACAAGGUUGGCCUCGGAUCAGGUGGGGAUACCCGCUGAACUUAAGCAUAUCAAUAAGCGGAGGA